rnacentral:rRNA from 1 species
CGAGUGUAGAGGUGAAAUUCGUAGAUAUUCGGUGGAACACCAGUGGCGAAGGCGACUAACUGGACUGAUACUGACGCUGAGGUGCGAAAGUGUGGGGAGCAAACAGGAUUAGAUACCCUGGUAGUCCACGCCCUAAACGAUGUCAACUAGGUGUAUGGAGAAUUUAUUCUUUGUGUAUCGAAGCUAACGCGAUAAGUUGACCGCCUGGGGAGUACGGUCGCAAGACUAAAACUCAAAUGAAUUGACGGGGGCCCGCACAAGCGGUGGAGCAUGUGG